rnacentral:lncRNA from 1 species
UUCAAAACAUUAAAAGAACAAAAAUAUUCUUUUUAUCUUGUACAAUAAAAAUGUACAAAUGAGUAUUUAAAAAAAAAAAAAAAAUUCAAACUUAAAUUCAGAGGAACCCAACAACAUUGAAUUGCCAAAAUAGUACUUUAGAUAGGCAAUCAUUUUUAUUGCAGAGAGUGAAAAUAACUCACAACAACGGCUUGAGGAACGACAUGCGACGACGGCAUCUUCACAGAGGAAAAGAAAGUUCAGUUGCCGUUGAUUUUCAGGGAGAUAUAGAGAAAUUGUGCUUUCAAGAGAUGCCCUAACAAAAUAAUUACGGUUACCAUGGAGAUAUCCAGCGCAAUUUGCAAGUUCCCCAUUUGUGAAGGAGUUUACAGAUUUCUUCAGUGCUUCAAGUGCUAACUAGCAAUUGAGUCAUUAGGGCAACAAACAUUCCAUGUAUUGUAUCAAUUGCUACAUGGGAAAAACUAGGAAACAGACUAACCAUAGUAACAACAUUAAUCCUUAAAAUAAUGAAAAACUAGAAACGAGAAGGCUGAUAGGAGAGAGACUAUAUACAGUCUAGCUAAGCUUACUCUGUAAUAAAUCAGGUAACCACAG